ACUUUUGACCGGACUUCAGUCUCGUGAAGCUGGGCUGCUUUUUCAGACGGCCAGUUCCAAAAAUGAACACUGUCAAGUUCUCCUUUCUGGUCCUCCCGAAGGUUUCCAAGAAUGUGACAUCCUCUCGCAAGCCAAGAGCAACACUUGGAUGUGCUAGCUGGAGCUGCCACAUGUCAAGUUGCUCCAUAUUCUGUGGCUUUGAGAUCCAGGCAAAUGUCCACAAAGGAGAGGAUUGUAACCACUGAAACACAGCGUGAAUACAGGGCCCUGGAUUCUGUUGUGGGCAAG